rnacentral:rRNA from 1 species
CAAAAACAUCGCCUCCCGCAAAAAUCAACGUAUAGGAGGUCCUGCCUGCCCAGUGACUAUAAGUUAAACGGCCGCGGUAUUUUGACCGUGCAAAGGUAGCGCAAUCACUUGUCUUUUAAAUGAAGACCCGUAUGAAUGGUGGAACGAGGGCUUAACUGUCUCCCCCCUCUAGUCAAUGAAAUUGAUCUACCCGUGCAGAAGCGGGUAUAAUAAUACAAGACGAGAAGACCCUUUGGAGCUUAAGAUAAAAGACCAACUAUGUUAAAAGUCAUAAAAAAGACUAAACUAAAUAGCACUGGCCCUAAUCUUCGGUUGGGGUGACCGCGGGAGAAAACACAGCUCCCAUGCGGACUGGGGAAACCCCCUAAAACUAAGAGAGACAUCUCUAAGGCACAGAACAUCUGACCAAAAAGAUCCGGCUACAUGCCGACCAACGGACCAAGUUACCCUAGGGAUAACAGCGCAAUCCCCUUUCAGAGUCCAUAUCGACAAGGGGGUUUACGACCUCGAUGUUGGAUCAGGACAUCCUAAUGGUGCAGCCGCUAUUAAGGGUUC